CCUACGGGGGGCAGCAGUGGGGAAUAUUGGACAAUGGGCGCAAGCCUGAUCCAGCCAUGCCGCGUGAGUGAUGAAGGCCCUAGGGUUGUAAAGCUCUUUCACCGGUGAAGAUAAUGACGGUAACCGGAGAAGAAGCCCCGGCUAACUUCGUGCCAGCAGCCGCGGUAAUACGAAGGGGGCUAGCGUUGUUCGGAUUUACUGGGCGUAAAGCGCACGUAGGCGGACUAAUAAGUCAGGGGUGAAAUCCCGGGGCUCAACCCCGGAACUGCCUUUGAUACUGGAAGUCUUGAGUAUGGAAGAGGUGAGUGGAAUUCCGAGUGUAGAGGUGAAAUUCGUAGAUAUUCUGGAGGAACACCAGUGGCGAAGGCGGCUCACUGGUCCAUACUGACGCU
rnacentral:rRNA from 2 species